rnacentral:rRNA from 1 species
CUACAGAACGAACGCUGGCGGCAGGCUUAACACAUGCAAGUCGAACGCCCGUAGCAAUACGGGAGUGGCGGACGGGUGAGUAACGCGUGGGAACGUACCCUGAGGUACGGAAUAACCGAGGGAAACUUCGGCUAAUACCGUAUGAGCCCCGCAAGGGGGAAAGAUUUAUCGCCUUGGGAGCGGCCCGCGUCGGAUUAGCUAGUUGGUGGGGUAACGGCCUACCAAGGCUUCGAUCCGUAGCUGGUCUGAGAGGACGAUCAGCCACACUGGGACUGAGACACGGCCCAGACUCCUACGGGAGGCAGCAGUGGGGAAUCUUGCGCAAUGGGGGCAACCCUGACGCAGCCAUGCCGCGUGAACGAUGAAGGCCUUAGGGUUGUAAAGUUCUUUUACCCGUGACGAUGAUGACGGUAACGGGGGAAUAAGCUCCGGCUAACUUCGUG